rnacentral:rRNA from 1 species
AUUGAACGCUGGCGGCAGGCCUAACACAUGCAAGUCGAGCGGAAGAAGGGAGCUUGCUCCUGGAUUCAGCGGCGGACGGGUGAGUAAUGCCUAGGAAUCUGCCUGGUAGUUGGGGAUAACGUCCUGAAACGGGCGCUAAUACCUCAUACGUCCUGAGUGAGAAAGAGAGGGAUCUUCGGACUUCACGCUAUCAGAUGAGCCUAGGUCGGAUUAGCUAGUUGGUGGGGUAAAGGCCUACCAAGGCGACGAUCCGUAACUGGUCUGAGAGGAUGAUCAGUCACACUGGAACUGAGACACGGUCCAGACUCCUACGGGCGGCAGCAGUGGGGAAUAUUGGACCAUGGGCGAAAGCCUGAUCCAGCCAUGCCGAGUGUGUGAAGAAGGUCUUCGGAUUGUAAAGCACUUUUAGUUGGGAGGAAGGGCAGUAAGUUAAUACCUUGCUGUUUUGACGUUACCAACAGAAUAAGCACCGGCUAACUUCGUG